CUUUUUAAUUUUUAAAGAGAUGAAUUAAUUUACUCUUUAAAAUUUUAAUUUUAAUGGCAUACCUAUGUAAUUACUUACAAAAUAUAAGGUUACAUUUAAAAUGUACUUCCCAAAUAAUAUAGUAGGAUUUAUGUUGUUUAGAAGUCAUUUCAUUAAAUGCUUCUCU
rnacentral:sRNA from 1 species